UGUAGGUUUAACAAGUUCAUUCGGCUACCUGUUGUAGUAUACCAUGGCAAGAAUCUUAAACUUACUACCUUACCAGCCAUUGAAUCUGCUUAAGACAUGACAUCUACCCGAAAUCGCUUGGUAUGAGAGACGUUCAUUCUACCGGUUAUAGAAGACGAUGUGAAGAUCUUGAAGUACCUUACCAUACUCUGCUCCACUCAUGCUAUAAGCAUAAGACUUGAAAUCUUGACAAAAUCAUGCAGAUGGCACCUACUAACAGCGGAUGUUACAGGCAAAGCCUCCUAGUAAUUGAAUACAUUAAUGUGCAUACAAUUACUGCUUCAGGUGAUGUCCUGAUUGGGGGCGGGGCUUACCCUCACAGAAUCUCUUAGGUGGCUUCAGAUACCGAUGUGCUUCCAGAUACUGCAGCAAAUUCCGUGGACUUUCACAUCAAAAUUGCACUAAAUCUUUCCCAAAUUACUACAAGUGGGUUAGCAAGUCUAUGGGAAUGUAUAGUUUAUGUCAGUUCUUUGCUAAUAUACAGGGAGAACUGUUUCUUGUCAGACAUACAUAUUUCCUUUAUAACUAUGCGGUAGGAAUAUAUACAGUAUAUGCUGGACUGGUCUUACUGCUAUAUACUGUAGUGUUCACAUACAUAUACAGAUCGGACUUCUGUUGUUAAUAAGUUCCUUCCCUCAGGAUCUAUAAAUGCACUUGAUACCUUUUUUUAUGAUUUCUCUUCCUUCCUGCCUUUUUCUCUUUAUAUAGAUGAAUAACCUGUGAGGUGACUUAACCCCUUAAGGACCACGGAUGUAAAUGUACGUCCUGGUUUGGCGGUACUUCGCACACCAGGACGUACAUUUAUGUCCUGUGUAUGACCGCGAGCAUCGGAACAGUGCUCGCGUCAUGCACGGCAGGUUCCGGCUGCUAGCAGCCCGUAAUGGCCAACAUCCACAAUCGCACGGAUGUCCACCAUUAACCCCUCAGAUAGCGUAAUCAAUACAGAUCACGGCAUCUGUGGCAGUGCAGUACUUUAAAUGGAUGAUCUGAUCAUACAGCAUGGCGGCCGGAGGUCCCCUCACCUGGCUCCAGCCGUCUCCCUGGGUAUUCUGCUCUGGUCUGAGAUUGAGCAGACCAGAGCAGAAGAUCACCGAUCAUACUGAUUGGUGCUUUAUCCAAUGCAUAGCACUGAACAGUAUUAGCAAUCAAAUGAUUGCUAUAGAUAGUCCCCUAUGGGGACAUAAAAAGUGUAAAAAAAAAAAGUGUGAAAACUCCCCUCCCCCAAUAAAAAUGAAAAUUGUCAGUUUUUCCCAUUUUACCCCCCAAAAAGCCUAAUUUUUUAUAAACAUAUUUUUAUUGCCGCGUGCAUAAAUGUACGAACUAUCAAAAUAUAAUGUUAAUGAUCCCGAACAGCGAAAACGUAAAAAAUAAAGUUAAAAAAAUGCAGCUUUUUUGUCACAUUUUAUUCCCAUAAAAAUUAAUAAACUAUCCAAAAGUUUUAUAUAUGCAUAUGUGGUAUCAAUAAAAAGUACAGAUGACGGCGCAAAAAAAUAGCCCUCACACCACCCUAUAUACGGAAAAAUGAAAAAGUUAUAGGUGGUCAAAAUAGGGCAAUUUUAGAUUACUGAUUUUGUACAAAAAGUUUUUUAGAUUUUUUUAAAGCAGUACAAAAAUAUAAAAGUAUCUAGCCAUGGGUAUCAUUUUAAUCGUAUUGACCUACAGAAUAAAGAACAUGUUGUUUUACGUAAAGUGUACAGUGUGAAAAUGAAACUCUCCAAAAUGUGCAAAAUUGUGGUUUUCAUAAAAAAAAUUUUUUGGGGGGGUUCGCUGUACAUUUUAUGGUAAAAUGAGAGGUUUCAUUACAAAGUACAAUUGGUCAGGCAAAAAAGCCCUUAUAUGGGUUUAGAUGGAAAUAUAAUAGAGUUAUGGAUUUUAGAAGGCGAGGAGGAAAAAAACAAACGUAAAAAUAAAAUUGGCCUGGAUCUUAAGGUGAAAAUGUGUUUGGUCCUUAAGGGGUUA